rnacentral:sRNA from 1 species
AUAACUAGAACAUACUUUAUUCUUAUUAGAAAGGAAGUUUGUUUAUUUGGGAUAUAAAAGAAUGAAUUAUUAGGCAAAUGAAUAAUGCUUUGUUUAUUAGCAUAUCGUCUUUCUCUUUCAGGCACAUGUUAAAUUUCCUAUUGACUACCCAUAUUCACCACCUACCUUCAGAUUCUUGACCAAAAUGUGACACCCCAACAUCUAUGAUAAUGGAGAUGUAUGCAUUUCAAUCCUUCAUCCGCCUGUAGAUGACCCACAGAGUGGAGAGCUGCCCUCUGAAAGGUGGAAUCCUCCUCAGAAUGUGAGGACUAUCGUGCUGAGUGUAAUCUCCCUGCUUAAUGAGCCCAACACCUUUUCCCCAGCCAAUGUGGAUGCUUCAGUCAUGUUCAGGAAAUGGAGGGACAGCAAAGGAAAGGACAAGGAGUACGCUGAGAUCAUUAG